rnacentral:rRNA from 1 species
CCUACGGGUGGCAGCAGUGAGGAAUAUUGGUCAAUGGACGCAAGGCUGAACCAGCCAUGCCGCGUGCAGGAAGACGGCUCUAUGAGUUGUAAACUUCUUUUGUACGGGGGUAAAACCCGAUACGUGUAUCUGAUUGAAAGUAUCUUACGAAUAAGGAUCGGCUAACUCCGUGCCAGCAGCCGCGGUAAUACGGAGGAUGCGAGCGUUAUCCGGAUUUAUUGGGUUUAAAGGGUGCGUAGGCGGUUCGAUAAGUUAGCGGUGAAAUCCCGGGGCUCAACUCCGGCACUGCCUCUGAUACUGUCGGGCUUGAGUUCAGUAGAGGUAGGCGGAAUGUAUGGUGUAGCGGUGAAAUGCAUAGAGAUCACACAGAACACCGAUUGCGAAGGCAGCCUACCA